CGUUUGCGUAACGUGAUACGUGCUCUGGCUGGGAACAGUUUGAUAACCAUUUCCGCGUAUUUCUCGCAUAUAUCGCAGAGUUUCUCAGGAGUAGUAUGUUAAGGGAUUAAAUUUUGCAUAAAGUGCUAUUUGUAAGUUAAUAAAUAUACCCAUUGAAAUGGAACCAAACAGUGUCGGUCGCUCGAACUGGGCCAUAAACCACCGGGCGGAGGCUUUAGUGAGUAAACACAUGGCAGAAAUGGCACAGAGACGCUUAGCGGUGCCUGAGGAGGAUAUAAACCCUCUACCCGGAGACUUGAAAAGGAGCGCAGAAGACAUCCCGGGGCGGGCUGAGGUGAAUUUCAGCGCGGACUUACAGUCCUACAAUCCUGCAGGAGUGGCAGAAAAGUUGAUGCACGAGGAUGCAUCUUCAUCUUCAGCUCCAGAGACAGCGGCCCAUAGGAAAAUCAUAUCCCUUCUUAUUGAGAUCAAGGAGGAGCAACAGAGGCAGUGGGAAGUUCUGAAAGACCUGCAGGCCAGGAUUUAUGGACAAAUGUGUGAAGAGGAGGACGAGCCACUUGACAUAGAUCUGCCACUAAGAACUAUGGAACAGCUUGAUGAAACAGAGCAGCAUUUAGAGGAUACUGAAACUCAGAGGAGAAUGGUGUCACACCUCUCAAGGAUGGGCGGAGCCACGGUGGAUGAUGCGGUCCGGCGUCUUAUGCAUGCUGUUCUCUCAUUCAGCGUGGGCUCAGAGCUCAACUGGGUUGGCAGAGGACAGAAACGGAGCUUCAGAAACACCAGACUGCAGGGUGUUUUAUUUCGUGCCUUGAAGAGGACACCCGUAGGAAAGGAGGCCACACACCACCAGUUUGCUGAUGUAGUGAAGAAAUGGUUGCGGUUUGCCCCUUUCCGACAAAGAGGAAGUGGACGAAGACCGCAGUGGAAACCCGUUGAGUUCAUCUGUCCCAAAUAUGUAGUCCCAAGCACUGUGGAGGAUCAUAACCAGAUUAACCUGGAAUCUGAGGAGAUUCAGGUCACAAUAUAAUUAUAUAAUUACACUCAUAGCUCGAAGUGGGGGGGGAAAAAACGUGAGAAGUGCUGGUAUGCUUAAAAUGUAGAAGUGCAUACCUGACCACUUUGAGCACUGAUUACACUAAAUAUUGUAUCACUAAAUGUAAAAAACAAACAAACAGGUGAAGUGAACUCCGUGAAUGAAGAAAUGACGAGUGUGAAGGACUGACUUUCAGAGGAUGAAGGUUUUUUUUUGUCAUAUGUUCUUUUUAAUAUAAUAUUUUAAUCUUUUAAGUUACAUACUGUUAUUAUGUACUGUUGUUACAGUAAAAACUGUUGUAAUUGCAGCAUAGAUCUUUAGAACAAAUGUAAAACAAUCUGUGUUAUAAUGUUUAACACAGAUUGUUGAAAAUAUAUGUUCCUGCAAAUAUAUUUUAAAAAUACUUUAAUAUGUUUCCAUUUAAACACUGAUGGCAAUUUAUUUUUUGAGUUUUGAAUUAAAAUAGUUUUGCAAUCCAUUUUUCAAGCUGGAAGUUGUUAAGAAUGUUGUGCGUUUUGCAUGGUUUGGUGCCAUUAUGUUUAACAAUAAAUGGACAUGAGAUUUAAUAAGUUCAAACAUUAAAAAAUGUUAAUAAGCACUACAACACAGAAAAUAUCAGAAUGCUGUAUAAAAAACAAAACAAAAAAAUUACAUUUCUCAAAUGUAAUUUAAUGACUUUGCUUAAUAAAAUAAAUUCUUUUAGAAUUGUCCAGUGGUAAAUUUGGCAAUGUGAACCAUUUUCUAAGAACAGUUUCUAAGAAACACAUUUUAAAAAAUACCUGUGCUGUGUGACUUUUUCUGUGUAAAGCCACUCUUUUCAAUUAUUUACGUUACUUUAUGACAGUAAAGUGCAAGAUUAUCUUACUGAAUCUUCAGCUUUGGAACCCAUGCCCAUAUUCUGUAUGGAAAUAAAUAAAUGCAGAAAUCAAUGUGUGUUUUCACUAAUGGGCACAUCUGGCCCUGUGGACUUGUAGAAAAUAAAUUCUCUGCAAAAACA